rnacentral:rRNA from 1 species
UACGUAGGUGGCGAGCGUUGUCCGGAUUUACUGGGCGUAAAGGGAGCGUAGGCGGACUUUUAAGUGAGAUGUGAAAUACUCGGGCUCAACUUGAGUGCUGCAUUUCAAACUGGAAGUCUAGAGUGCAGGAGAGGAGAAUGGAAUUCCUAGUGUAGCGGUGAAAUGCGUAGAGAUUAGGAAGAACACCAGUGGCGAAGGCGAUUCUCUGGAGUGUAACUGACGCUGAGGCUCGAAAGCGUGGGGAGCAAACAGG